UACGAAGGGGGCUAGCGUUGCUCGGAAUCACUGGGCGUAAAGGGCGCGUAGGCGGUCUUUUAAGUCGGGGGUGAAAGCCUGUGGCUCAACCACAGAAUUGCCUUCGAUACUGGGAGACUUGAGUUCGGAAGAGGUUGGUGGAACUGCGAAGUGUAGAGGUGAAAUUCGUAGAUAUUCGCAAGAACACCGGUGGCGAAGGCGGCCAACUGGUCCGACACUGACGCUGAGGCGCGAAAGCGUGGGGAGCAAACAGGA
rnacentral:rRNA from 1 species